GACGAACGCUGGCGGCGUGCUUAACACAUGCAAGUCGAACGGUAAGGCCCUUCGGGGUACACGAGUGGCGAACGGGGGAGUAACACGUGGGUGAUCUGCCCUGCACUUCGGGAUAAGCCUGGGAAACUAGGUCACAUACCGGAACGGACCACUACCCGCAAGGGCGGUGGGUGAAAGGUGUUGUGGUGUGGGAUGGGCCCGCGGCCUAUCAGCUUGUUGGUGGGGUGAUGGCCUACCAAGGCGCCGACGGGUAGGCGGCCUGAGAGGGUGACCGGCCACACUGGGACUGAGAUACGGACCAGACUCCUACGGGAGGCAGCAGUGGGGAAUAUUGCACAAUGGGCGCAAGCCUGAUGCAGCGACGCCGCGUGAGGGAUGACGGCCUUCGGGUUGUAAACCUCUUUCAGCACCGACGAAGCGCAAGUGACGGUAGGUGCAGAAGAAGGACCGGCCAACUACGUGCCAGCCGCCGCAGUAA
rnacentral:rRNA from 1 species